GCGACAGUCGUAUAAUGGUUAUUACCCGAGCUUCCCAAGCUCGUGACGGGGGUUCGAUUCCCCUCUGUCGCU
rnacentral:tRNA from 1 species